rnacentral:tRNA from 1 species
ACCUGGCUGGCUCAGUCAGUAGAGCAUGUGACUCUUAAUUAUAGGGUCCUGAAUUCAAGUCCCAUGUUGGGUA